GCAGCACAGUCCUUCAGGAUCUUGAUCCAUCCAGAGUGUCCGUCGCUAAUGAUGACGUUGGAAUCGUGCGAAAGAGUGGCAUCGACGAAAAACGUUCCUAGUUCCUGUUGUCAGCAUGUGUGUUCCCUCAGCUGAAGCAUGCUGGAUGCUCCAUCAGUACUCUCAGUGCCCAUCCCAUCCACAGAUGAGAACGCUCAUGUGGAUCCACCUACAAUGUGUGCAGACAGGUGCUGAGCCCACCCCCACGGGCGGCACAUCUGGACCCAAACCUGCACACCUGGAACCAUACCGGGACACAUCUGUACCCAAACCAGCAUAACUGGAACCAGACUGGCACACCAGGAACCAGACUGGCACACCUGGAACCAGACCGCGACACACCUGGAACCAAACCAGCAUACCUGGAACCAAACCGGCAUACCUGGAACCAAACUGUCAAAACUGGAACCAAACCGAUCGCAGUCAGGGAGGGAGGUAAGGAACUCUGAAAGACAGGUCCUCGAAGCCGAACCAGACUGGCACACCUGGAACCAAACCGGCACAGCUGGAACCAAACCGGCACAGCUGGAACCAAACCGGCACUCCUGGAACCAAACCGGCACAGCUGGAACCGGACUGGCACACCUGGAACCAAAUCGGCACACCUGGAACCAAACCGAUCGCAGUCAGGGAGGGAGGAUUGAAGGAAUGGCCAGGCCAGCCUUGCUGAUAGCGGCUCUGCUGAAUAAUUGGACUUUAAUUCCUCCACUAUCUCUGAAGUGUGUGAUGGUAUGGUGCUUCAAUCACCUGUGCUGUCCCCUCUCCUCUCCUCUCCUCUGUGCCGAAGUGGUUACAUAUCGGAGCAGUGGCAGCCAGGCUGAACCAUACAACGCUUGAGAGGGUGGUGAGAAGAAAGCAUAGGCCUACAAUACACACAUGUACACGUACACUGGCACAAACUCACAUACAGUAGACAUGAGAUUACACACACACACACACACAUGGAGACCUACUGUACAUGAGUUGCUGUAAGAUGUCCAUUUUUUUUUUAAACAAAACACAUGUGCAUUUUAACCUGAAACACACUAAAACAUUACAUGUACAGUAAUAAUAACAUGUAAAAAUAACACG